CGGGGCCAUGUCUGAUGAUGCCUUUGAGUCCAGAGUAGGCAUCUGGAUAUAUCCUCUCCACCAAAGGGCAAAGUCUUUUCUGUAUUGGGUAUAGCUACUCCAUCCUCAAUGCAAAUGACAGAUGUCACCUGAGCACCAAUAUUUACAAUGCAUGCCAUUGAUAACCCAUUCCCAAAAACUGCAGCAAGGCCUUCCUGGUGUACUACUGCUGAGCUAAAGCACAAAUCUCGUAGCACUAUGGAUAUCAUUUCUUUUAUUUCACGAUCGUCGAAUGUUUCUGGCAAAACAAGUAUGGCAGCAUACAUGCUUCUUUCAGAUUGAGGGAUAUGCAGUUUCUUUACCAAAAUCCAAUCCCAAAUAGUAUGAAGCCUCAAGCACCUGCUGCAUGGGAUAAUGUUGUGAAAUGUUCAAGUGUCCUCUGCGAAUAGGUCGGUGUAAGCAAUAGGGCUCUGUGGGGGGUAUUCUUAGUGCUUCCUCACCACAAAUGAAACCUCUGUAUUUAUGCCCACUUGUAGUAGGCUCCUGAGCAUCUGUAUUUUCAUGCUUCUCCGAGGCCUCACCAAUAUGACUUUCAAUUGUUGGUCUUUCUGCACCUGAUGCCAAAGAAGAGUUGGUUUCUUGCUCAUAUACGUUAGCCCAUGUAAAAGCUACAUCCUUCCUGCCACUCUGUGUAUUAUAUCCAUCAACACGUCCUGUCUUGCGCGGAAAAGAAUUGUUGGCAAUCUCUUCAUCCAGAAAAGGGAUCUUCAGCAAUGAAGCAAUAAUAUCAUAUGCCUUCUCACGAUCCAUGUGCUGAGCUGUUGUGACCUGAAUAUUUAGCAUCUGAUCUUUAACAUAAAGUUUGGGCAAUUGAUUGGUAUAGCGAGCAAUGCAGUGAGGGAUAUUAAAGGGAGUGUCCUGCUGUGCAAGGCCGAUCCUGACAUUUGCAGACCCAGGGUUGAUGACAACCAGAUUGGAGCCUCGCUCCGCCAGGAGUUGUGAAGGCACCACCGUCUUCAAGUAAUCCAUGGCGGUGAAGCAGAGCUCCGAGUGGAAGUUGCUAGCUCUGGCCACUGAAUAACGUUUUCCCUUCCGCUCCUGUUUUCUUCUACUUCUCUUCCGCGAUCUUGUACAGAAUUUAUUGAAGUGAGAUAAAACGAUGUCAUAGCUUUCUUCCUCAAUAACCUCAAUGGAAACAAUCCCUAAGUUAAGAUUUUGAGCCAAAUGACAAUAAUCGAAGAAAUUGAAGAUUUUUUUUUUCUUUUUUUUUUUUUUAACAAGC
rnacentral:misc_RNA from 1 species